CCCUUAGACGUUCUGGGCCGCACGCGCGCUACACUGACGGAGCCAGCGAGUAUAAACCUUGGCCGAGAGGUCUGGGAAAUCUUGUGAAACUCCGUCGUGCUGGGGAUAGAGCAUUGUAAUUAUUGCUCUUCAACGAGGAAUUCCUAGUAAGCGCAAGUCAUCAGCUUGCGUUGAUUACGUCCCUGCCCUUUGUACACACCGCCCGUCGCUACUACCGAUUGAGUGAUCCGGUGAAUGUUUUGGAUCGGCUUCAAGUUGGUUCGCGCCUCUUGCUUGCUGUGAAAUCAUGUAAACCUUAUUGCUUAGAGGAAGGAGAAGUCGUAACA
rnacentral:rRNA from 1 species